rnacentral:rRNA from 1 species
UACGGGGGGGGCAAGCGUUGUUCGGAAUUACUGGGCGUAAAGGGCGCGUAGGCGGUGCUCUAAGUCGGAUGUGAAAACUCUGGGCUCAACCCAGAGCCUGCAUCCGAAACUGGAGUGCUAGAGUUCUGGAGGGGGUAGCGGAAUUCCUGGUGUAGCGGUGAAAUGCGUAGAUAUUGGGAAGAACACCGGUGGCGAAAGCGCCUUGCUGGACCUGCACUGACACUGAGGGACGAAAGCUAGGGGAGCGAAAGGG